rnacentral:rRNA from 1 species
UACGAAGGGAGCUAGCGUUGUUCGGAAUCACUGGACGUAAAGGGCGCGUAGGCGGCCGUGUAAGUCACUUGUGAAAUCCCGGGGCUCAACUCCGGGGCUGCAGGUGAGACUGCAUGGCUAGAGCUUGGUAGAGGCGAGUGGAAUUCCCGGUGUAGCGGUGGAAUGCGUAGAUAUCGGGAAGAACACCGGUGGCGAAGGCGGCUCGCUGGGCCAAUGCUGACGCUGAGGCGCGAAAGCGUGGGGAGCAAACAGG